CUUAACUGGCAGGGGAGAUACCAUGAUCAAGAAGUUAGGGAGCUAGAUGCCAUGAUCACCAAGGUGGUUCUCCCAGGGAGAGAGAAUUAUACUCCAGGCAGGCUGACCCCUGUGAGUUUUUCUGAGUGCAGGAAACUUGACGGCACAAUUCUUUGGUAACAGGGGACUACAUUCACAGUUCCCCCAU
rnacentral:snRNA from 1 species